rnacentral:rRNA from 1 species
UACGGAGGGUGCGAGCGUUAAUCGGAAUAACUGGGCGUAAAGGGCACGCAGGCGGGCUUUUAAGUGAGGUGUGAAAUCCCCGGGCUUAACCUGGGAAUAGCAUUUCAGACUGGGAGUCUAGAGUACUUUAGGGAGGGGUAGAAUUCCACGUGUAGCGGUGAAAUGCGUAGAGAUGUGGAGGAAUACCGAAGGCGAAGGCAGCCACCUGGGAAUGUACUGACACUGAGGAGCGAAAGCGUGGGGAGCGAACAGG